rnacentral:misc_RNA from 1 species
UUUCCGUAGGUGAACCUGCGGAGGGAUCAUUACCGAGAAUAUGACCUUCGAGGUAUAUCUCCCCCCCUUUGUUUAUUUUACCUUUGUCGCUUUUCCCGGCCCGUCUUCGGACCCCCUGCUUCAGCUGCUCUUUGCUUCCCAGGGGACCCAAAACUCUUAUUAUUAAUCUCUUAUAAGUACUAUAAACGGAUUACAACUUUCAACCACGGAUCACUUAGUUAUGGCAUCGAUGAAGCACGCAUCAGAACUGCAGACCCCACUUCUGAACUCCAGUCCCCC